CCGACCUAGUGCAGCGAACGUGAAGCCGCUGCGGCGAAACGGCGUGAUUUCCGCAGUGGUUUC
rnacentral:sRNA from 1 species